AUGCGGGCAACUCUGAUAAAGAGGAGAAAUUGAAGUAUGCUUUUGAUGGUUACACCAUUAAUCAAGAUUUGACAAAUGAAUUAAUGAUUGAUUACUCACAGUGAAUUGCCGUAGGAUUACUAAAAACUCAUUCUGCCAAGCAAGAAAUUUUUUUUUUUUCUAACAAUACUAAGGCAACAAAAAUAUUUGUGAUGUGCAAUCAAUGUUGAUUUUCAGGAAAGAAACAGACAAUCACAAUUGAGUAAAUGCUUCGGGAUUAGGUUACCCUCAAUAGGACUUUGUCGUUGCACAACCAUAGUCCAAGAAUUAAUUUUACUUGAUGUUCGAACGUAAGACAUGCUGGAACGAUUAGGUAAAUUAAUCUAAAUAUGAUUCAUAUCAUAAGUGUUUUUGCUGAUAGUUAAUUUACUGCAAUAUCAUAUCAUAAAUCUAACAACCUUCUAUUACUUUUACAAUAUGCUCUAAAUAUUUUUGAAGUCUAAUUUUGAAAUGUAAUCUGAAAUAUUAAUAUUGUAGGUUCAAUGUUGUAUUACAUUUUGUACAUUGUAGCAUAUUGUACUAACUCGGCCUAAUAAAGUCAACAUGUUUAUCAUACAUGUAAACCUAUGUAUAGUAUGAUAUCAUACAUGCAGUAUUUUUAUUAUCAGAUAUCCAACUUUAAUCAACAUGUCUUGUAGAAUACCAUGUAACACCAGUUAUUGUUAGAAAUAUCAUAUCAACACCAUAUCAUCUAUGUUUUAAUUAUGGAUAAAUUAAUUUUUUAUUACAUCCAACCCUAGAAUAUAAAAUUUUACAAAUGUAAGGAUGUAUAACUGUAUAUCAUACAUGCAGUGUCAGUCCCCCAUACUGUACUGCCCUUGACUAACAUGAAACAACCUACAAUGAAGCUAGUGAUUUCUUUCAAUGAUUUUUCUUUUGUUACCCUAUUUUCACGUGUAGCAUUUAGAUGUGAUCUUCUACCACUUGAGAAAGAAAUCGAAGCUUUAGCUGCGUGAUAGUUAUAGAUAUACAACGACUGGCCAUUUUUUUAAAACAUAUGUCGAAAAGACACAUAGUCGAUAUUAUUCAACAGAAUCGGCAGUUGAGCUGUCCACACAAUAAGACUAUGAAGAAUCAUUUGUGGUGGCUAAGAAUGAAGAUACUAUUGCAAAUAUAAUUUAAGGAUUUUGUAUUUCUGCUGGGUUACCAUGACACAUGGUUGAUGAGGUAUAUGUUUCAGUUAACUGUGACAAAGAAUUUCACUGGGUAUUAGCUGUGAUUGUCUUGAAGGAAAUAUUGAUACGUGUGUAUGACUCAUUGACAAGUAAAAAAAAAAGGAACCACCAAUCAAAAUACAAAAGCUUGCAGUGAUGCUGCCUACUUACUUGUCAGACAAUAUUCUUUUGAAAAGACUGAGCGAAUGAAUGGUCAACACUUGAAGCGUACAAGGGGAAGCUUGCUCAACAUACUGGUCUUGUCAAUGAAAUUCCAUUUGAUAUUGACUAUGUUCAAAAC
rnacentral:lncRNA from 1 species